CCUUUUUUGCUGACGAGUGGCGGACGGGUGAGUAAAGUAUGGGGAUUUGCCGAAUGGAGGGGGACAACUGUUGGAAACGGCAGCUAAUACCGCAUAAAGUUGAGAGACCAAAGCGUGGGACUUUUUAAGCCACGCGCCAUUUGAUGAACCCAUAUGGGAUUAGCUAGUUGGUAGGGUAAUGGCUUACCAAGGCGACGAUCUCUAGCUGGUCUGAGAGGAUGACCAGCCACACUGGAAUUGAGACACGGUCCAGACUCCUAUGGGAGGCAGCAGUGGGGGGAUAUUGCACAAUGGGGGAAACCCUGAUGCAGCCAUGCCGCGUGUAUGAAGAAGGCUUUCGGGUUGUAAAGUACUUUCGGUAAUGAGGAAGGUGUAUUAUCUAAUAGGUAAUGCAAUUGACGUUAGUUACAGAAGAAGCACCGGCUAACUCCGUGCCAGCAGCCGCGGUAAUACGGAGGGUGCGAGCGUUAAUCGGAAUAACUGGGCGUAAAGGGCAUGCAGGCGGGUCAUUAAGUUAGGUGUGAAAUCCCCGGGCUCAACCUGGGAACUGCAUUUAAAACUGAUGGUCUGGAGUAUUGUAGAGGAAGGUAGAAUUCCACGUGUAGCGGUGAAAUGCGUAGAGAUGUGGAGGAAUACCGGUGGCGAAGGCGGCCUUCUGGACAGAUACUGACGCUGAGAUGCGAAAGCGUGGGGAGCAAACAGGAUUAGAUACCCUGGUAGUCCACGCUGUAAACGAUGUCAAUUUGGAGUUUGGUGGCAUGACUGCUGGGCU
rnacentral:rRNA from 1 species